rnacentral:rRNA from 1 species
UACGUAGGGUGCGAGCGUUAAUCGGAAUUACUGGGCGUAAAGCGUGCGCAGGCGGUUUUGUAAGGCAGAUGUGAAAUCCCCGGGCUUAACCUGGGAAUGGCAUUUGGGACUGCAAGGCUUGAGUGCGGCAGAGGAGACUGGAAUUCCUGGUGUAGCAGUGAAAUGCGUAGAUAUCUGGAGGAACACCGGUGGCGAAGGCGGCAUUCUGGACUGCAACUGACACUGAGGAACGAAAGCCAGGGGAGCAAACGGG